CCCCUUAAGAAUUGAGCCAACACCCGGCAUGACCGCCGGGUGGUGACCCGAGGAGC
rnacentral:ncRNA from 1 species